rnacentral:lncRNA from 1 species
UAAUCACAAGGGAUAAAGUUGUCAUUGGUUAUGCAAUCUAAAACUGCUCUUUUUGUUUCCUUUCAGUCACUGUGGAAGUGGAGCACAAAGCAGUCACUUUGGUUUCUUCAUCAGCAUUUUGAAAUGCCUGAUUGAACUGAAGAGAUAUGGGACACUGACUUUUAUCUACGUGCUAACAGACAUGGCUGUGCUGUGCAGCAAAAGUUCUUCAAAGGGGAUUGUGACAGCACUGGCCAGCACCAACCCAAAUACUGCAGAUGGAGUGACGUAGAGUCCUGGUGAGAAAGGAGGGAAGAGCACCCAGAUGUCCACAGCCAGCAAUCCUGGCUCUUGAGAUUACAGCUGAUGCAUCAGGGCAUCCAAGGAAGACUGGUGAAUUAGAGGAAGAUCAGAAAUUUUUGAAAGUUUUGAUCUUGGUUAUCAUUUACAUAGCAGAGGUGAAAACAACAACAACAAAAGGACAAGAGCAGCAAGAUUUAACUGAAAUUGAUCCCAAAGACAAGUCAUAAAGAAAAGGAAGGUGAAUUGCUGAGAAUAGAUGGUGAGGCACUGUAGCAGUGAGCCUUUCACAAAGAAUGUGAGAGAUGCUAAUCAAUACAGCCUUUCUGACAAAAACUUUUUGAAAAAUGGCUUGUGUGAUCUUCUGGUCUGUGAUGCUCAGAUUGGUUGGUGUGAUCAUAUAUGCCAGCAUGCCGUUAGUCCAUAUGGUAACAGUUUCAUCAAGACAAUUUGUACUAUUUAAGAUCUGUAUGGAUAUUCUUUGCAUACUGCAUACCAAGUAAAAGAGUAACCAAUAUUUCCACAAGAAAAUCUUCUAACCUUCUCAGUUCUUCUGUGCAAUAAAUGGAAGUAAACAGUCA